rnacentral:rRNA from 1 species
UACGAAGGGGACUAGCGUUGUUCGGAAUUACUGGGCGUAAAGCGCGCGCAGGCGGCUAUCCAAGUCAGUGGUGAAAGCCCGGAGCUCAACUCCGGAACUGCCAUUGAAACUGUUUAGCUUGAGGACGAGAGAGGUGAGUGGAAUUCCCAGUGUAGAGGUGAAAUUCGUAGAUAUCUGGAGGAACACCGGUGGCGAAGGCGGCAUCCUGGACCGACACUGACGCUGAGGAGCGAAAGCCAGGGGAGCAAACGGG